rnacentral:rRNA from 1 species
UACGUAGGGUGCGAGCGUUAAUCGGAAUUACUGGGCGUAAAGCGUGCGCAGGCGGUGAGUUAAGUCUGAUGUGAAAGCCCCGGGCUCAACCUGGGAAUGGCAUUGGAAACUGGCUCGCUGGAGUGUGGCAGAGGGGGGUGGAAUUCCGCGUGUAGCAGUGAAAUGCGUAGAGAUGCGGAGGAACACCGAUGGCGAAGGCAGCCCCCUGGGCCAACACUGACGCUCAGGCACGAAAGCGUGGGGAGCAAACGGG